CAGCUACUCCCUCCGUUCCAAAUUACUUGUCUUCGAUUUGUCUAAAUACGGAUGUAUCUAGCACUAAAAUGAGUCUAGAUACAUCCGUAUCUAGACAAAUCUAAGACAAGUAAUUCAGAACGGAGGGAGUACGUA
rnacentral:pre_miRNA from 1 species